ACAGUGGACACACAGUUUAACAUGAUGGACUAUAGGACAGGACUGCUGCUGUUAACUAUCUGCUUGGCAGGUGUUGAUGGUCAGACUCUGACAGAAUCUGAACCAGCGGUUAAAAGGCCUGGAGAAUCUCACAGAUUGACCUGUACAGCCUCUGGAUUCACAUUCAGCAGCUAUCAUAUGGCCUGGAUCAGACAGGCUCCUGGAAAAGGACUGGAGUGGAUUGCCUGGAUUGAAAAUGAUAACGACAGGAAAUUCUACUCUCAGUCAGUUCAAGGCCGGUUUACCAUCUCCAGAGACGACAGCAGACAGCAGGUGUAUCUGCAGAUGAACAGUCUGAAGACUGAAGAUUCUGCUGUUUAUUAUUGUGCUCGAGACUCACAGUGACUGGAGUUGGUUGAGCAGCUGUACAAAAUCCUACAGUACUCAUCUUUACCACAAUUAUUCCAAUAAAAUGAUAUUAAUACUUUGAA